GUUUUACCCGCGGAGACGCCGAGGCCCGAUGCCGUAUCCUGCCGCCCGUUUUACCCGCGGGAAAGCCGAGGCCCGGUGCUGUAUUCUGCCGCCCAUUUUACCCGCGGGGAAGCUGAGGCCCAGUGCUGUUUAAUAUCUUACUCAUGUUCACUUGAUGAGAAAGUGACAGAUCUGAGACAAACCCAGAAUUUAAGAGACACCAGAGGAUGGCACAUUUAUACUGAGCUUGCAGUUUCCUAAACAUGAAGAAGAUGAACGGCUCUCAGUUAAGCAGCACGGGUCAGAUAGGAGCUUGAAAUUGAAUAUUUGAGCUGACACGGGAGAGACAUACUUUUGAGAUUCCAAAUACGAUUUCUGUGGAGAAAACAAAAAAGGACUCUGUUUUUAAUUCAAAAGGGAGAAGUGAAAUUCUACCUCACUUUUUUAAAAGAAGAGCCUGGAAUUGGCCUAUCCGUCUUUUUCCCCGUUGGAUCACAGAGCAGAAAGGAAGGUGGGCGUUUGUGUUCUGGGUGUUGUCCACGCUGGACGUGCCAGCAUCUCCCACUGAGCCAGAUGUUCCAGGGCUAAGGCCAGUUUCAUUUGAAGGCACAGCCUUACUAUAUCAUAUUAAUCUGAUGCCAAGUUUUUGGAUGUUAUGAGCAACCACCUCAUUUAUUUUUUGUGGUUGUUUAACCACAAUGAGUAAGGUGAGAAAACUGUGAUGCGGUCGACUGGCACCUAGCAUUGCCCCCAUCUGGAACAUCUGCAGCCUAGAUCUGUUCUGAUGAAGUAGAAGCCGCAGAUCUUAUCCUGAAACAGGCCAGGUGCAAGUGUCCUCUUAGAAGGGAUCAACCAUGGGAUGCGGCAUUAAGAGAAGAGAGAAGGACAUCCUUACAACUGUGCCUUUCUUUCAACUCAGUCGUGCGCAUUAGGCUUGUAUCAGUUAAAGUGCAGGCAAGAAAUUUCAAGCAGAAAGGGAGUCAGGUGCUCAUAGCAUUGCUGGCAGAAUUGAGAGCAGCGGGAGCCAUGGGAUGGGGGUGCUGCCUGGAAAUCAGGAAACUGGAGAAGCCUGCUGGAACCUGCUGAGGAACCCAUCACUGCAGCAAGAGACUGAUGGUGGACUGCAGGGGCCAGGAAGGUGCAGGAAGCCCCUGCUGCUGCAGGAGAAAGGAUGAAGGAUGGUUAUCUUCCACCUUCCAAAUCUCACAGGAACACCUCUUCUAGGUGGAAUCCAAACCAGAUUCCUUCUGGAAAGGGAUUCUGGAAAGUGUAGUUCUUAUGCUUCCAGCCUCUGAGAUAAGCAAGGACAAUUGCUGGAGGCGAGGGUGUCGCUGAAUACCAAGGAAGGAUAGCAGGUGUAGUUGCCCACAUGGCCACUCAGCAUCCACAUGGACAUCCCACCCAUGUUAAUUUCCAAAGAGCCAUCACAGAAACAUCAUCAUGCUUCCUCACAAAGAAGAAAUGCUCACCUCCACCCCAAUAGAAAGGGUCCAGGUAUCCAUCUCUGAGUGAUGGUCACCCUCCAUAUUCAGUAAAAAACACCCUCGGAUAGACUGUGGUUGAAAGACUAAACCUUUAGGUUAGCCACAGUCAAUAUAUCUUAUAUAAAAUAAGAGAGGCGGGGAGAGCAGGGGAAAGAGAUACUGGGUUAUGUGUGUAAAAACAUACACAAUAAAGCAAACAAGAAACGCUGUGUAGUUCCUAGAGUCCUCAUCUCUACCAGUGGUCACAAGGCUUUUGUGAUGGGUAAUUUUAGGUGUCAGCUUGACUGGACUGAGGAAUGCCUAGAUGGCUGCUGAAGCAUUGCUUCUAGGUGUCUGUGAGGAUGUUUCCAGGGGAGAAGGGCAUGUGAGUAGACUGAGAAAGACCCCCCUCAGUGUGGAUGGC
rnacentral:lncRNA from 1 species